UUGGUCAGCACCACAGUGGGCCCCGCCCACAAGUAACAAACUGCCAAUGAGUGACCAUCAGGGGAGUGAUUCAGCAAGUAGGUGCCAUGAUGGUCAUCAGGUGGAGAGUGAGAUAAGAGUCGGAUCCCAGCAUGCUCCCUGAGGACCUCAAGCCUGUUUCCUGGCCUUGGGCAAGCAGCCAGGAUGGGGACACUGGAGGGUGACAGCUGUGCCUUGGGAUCUUGCCCUUUCUUGUCGGGACAAACAGUAACAUUCGUUUGGUGAAGAUUUACAGGAAUAUCAUUACUUGACCAUCACUGGACCUCAAGAACAAAGGAUAUGACACCAAGAAAUCUUCAACAGCUAACCACACCCCUCCCUUCCCUUUUGCUAAGUUUUCAGUAACUCUGGGGUCCUUAGGGCAUUAGCCACCCAUCUCCUUGCAUGAACCUGUAAUAAACCUUUCUCUGUUCCAAA